GUGUCAGCAGCCGCGGUAACACGUAGGAGGCGAGCGUUGUCCGGAAUCAUUGGGCGUAAAGAGCGCGCAGGCGGCCCGGCAAGUCGGGUGUGAAAUCUCGGGGCUCAACCCCGGAACUGCAUCCGAUACUGCCGGGCUAGAGGUAGGUAGGGGAGAUCGGAAUUCCUGGUGUAGCGGUGAAAUGCGCAGAUAUCAGGAGGAACACCGGUGGCGAAGGCGGAUCUCUGGGCCUUACCUGACGCUCAGGCGCGAAAGCUAGGGGAGCGAACAGGAUUAGAAACCCGCGUAGUCC
rnacentral:rRNA from 1 species